CGAAAGCCUGACGGAGCAACGCCGCGUGAGGGAGGAAGGCUCUUGGGUUGUAAACCUCUUUUCUCAGGGAAGAACACAAUGACGGUACCUGAGGAAUAAGCAUCGGCUAACUCCGUGCCAGCAGCCGCGGUAAUACGGAGGAUGCAAGCGUUAUCCGGAAUGAUUGGGCGUAAAGCGUCCGCAGGUGGCUAUGUAAGUCUGCUGUUAAAGAGUCUAGCUCAACUAGAUAAGAGCAGUGGAAACUACAAGGCUAGAGUACGUUCGGGGCAGAGGGAAUUCCUGGUGUAGCGGUGAAAUGCGUAGAGAUCAGGAAGAACACCGGUGGCGAAGGCGCUCUGCUAGGCCGUAACUGACACUGAGGGACGAAAGCUAGGGGAGCG
rnacentral:rRNA from 1 species